UGACUGUAAUUUCUGAAGCUUCUUGUCUUUCUUUUCUAUAUUUUUAUGCCAUUUGAAGAACAUUGAAAGAUCUUUUUUCAGGCUUUUGUUGAAUUUGUCGGGACCCUUUCCCAUGAAUAAGAACUGGAGAACAUGAAAGAUCUUUUAUCAAUAAACCUUUGCGGAAAUUAAUAUACAAAUAACAUGUGCAUGUAAUGUUUUAGGACUCGUAUCGUAUGGUCUUAACAUAAGCAUUUUCUUUUUCAAAUAAAUUAGUUUUUUGGGAUUUUAUCAUUGACUGUUACUGCUACAAAAUCUGCUACUAAGGAAUAUACGGAAAAGCAAGUUGUUUAUGCAUGCAUCAAACUCUUACCAAUUCAAGGCCUAUGAACAAUUAAACUGACUUCGAACUUUAUAUUUCUUGUUUAUAGGUCAAUUGAACAGAUUCUGCUCUAGUUGUUGCCAAGUUGAUAGAUGUGAAUACUUUGAGUUCAUUAUGAUUUGCUAUUUUCAGCUGCAAUGGAAGUUCUUAUAAUUCGCUGAUUUCAGCUUUUGUCAGAAACAAUGUAUUAGAUUUUACAGUCUCUUUGGUUUUACUACAAUGUGUAUUGACACAUAACUUUGACCGAUCUCCUUUGAUUGGAUUCUUCUUAUUCUUCUAUAUAUAAAAAAUGGUUCAGUUUAGUUUACCAU
rnacentral:lncRNA from 1 species